ACGAACGCUGGCGGCAGGCUUAACACAUGCCAGUCGAACGCCCCGCAAGGGGAGUGGCAGACGGGUGAGUAACGCGUGGGAAUCUACCCAUCCCUACGGAAUAACGCAUGGAAACGUGUGCUAAUACCGUAUACGCCCUACGGGGGAAAGAUUUAUCGGGGAUGGAUGAGCCCGCGUUGGAUUAGCUAGUUGGUGGGGUAAAGGCCUACCAAGGCGACGAUCCAUAGCUGGUCUGAGAGGAUGAUCAGCCACAUUGGGACUGAGACACGGCCCAAACUCCUACGGGAGGCAGCAGUGGGGAAUAUUGGACAAUGGGCGCAAGCCUGAUCCAGCCAUGCCGCGUGAGUGAUGAAGGCCUUAGGGUUGUAAAGCUCUUUCACCGGAGAAGAUAAUGACGGUAUCCGGAGAAGAAGCCCCGGCUAACUUCGUG
rnacentral:rRNA from 1 species